AAGCGCCGUAUACCGAACGGUACGUACGGUGCUGUGAGAGGACGGGUGCUAAUCACUCCCUCCUACUCGAU
rfam:Butyrivibrio proteoclasticus B316 chromosome 1, complete sequence.